UACGAAGGGGGCUAGCGUUGUUCGGAAUCACUGGGCGUAAAGCGCACGUAGGCGGAUCUUUAAGUCAGGGGUGAAAUCCCGAGGCUCAACCUCGGAACUGCCUUUGAUACUGGGGAUCUCGAGUCCGGGAGAGGUGAGUGGAACUGCGAGUGUAGAGGUGAAAUUCGUAGAUAUUCGCAAGAACACCAGUGGCGAAGGCGGCUCACUGGCCCGGAACUGACGCUGAGGUGCGAAGGCCAGGGGAGCAAACGGG
rnacentral:rRNA from 1 species